rnacentral:sRNA from 1 species
UCAAGAAUAUUUGCCAACAAUGUAUGAU